GUGGGGAAUAUUGGACAAUGGGCGAAACCCUGAUCCAGCCAUGCCGCGUGUGUGAAGAAGGUCUUCGGAUUGUAAAGCACUUUAAGUUGGGAGGAAGGGUAGUAACCUAAUACGUUGCUACUUUGACGUUACCGACAGAAUAAGCACCGGCUAACUUCGUGCCAGCAGCCGCGGUAAUACGAAGGGUGCAAGCGUUAAUCGGAAUUACUGGGCGUAAAGCGCGCGUAGGUGGUUCAGUAAGUUGGAAGUGAAAUCCCCGGGCUCAACCUGGGAACUGCUUUCAAAACUGCUGAGCUAGAGUACGGUAGAGGGUGGUGGAAUUUCCUGUGUAGCGGUGAAAUGCGUAGAUAUAGGAAGGAACACCAGUGGCGAAGGCGACCACCUGGACUGAUACUGACACUGAGGUGCGAAAGCGUGGGGAGCAAACAGGAUUAGAUACCCCGGUAGUCC
rnacentral:rRNA from 1 species